rnacentral:rRNA from 1 species
CCAUGAGUAAAGUGGCGACCGGGUGAGUAACACGUGACUAACCUACCUUCGAGUGGGGGAUAACCUCGGGAAACCGAGGCUAAUACCGCAUAACAUCGCAAGAUCAAAGCAGCAAUGCGCUGGAAGAGGGGGUCGCGGCUGAUUAGCCAGUUGGCGGGGUAACGGCCCACCAAAGCGAAGAUCGGUAGCCGGCCUGAGAGGGCGCACGGCCACACUGGAACUGAAACACGGUCCAG